rnacentral:rRNA from 1 species
UACGAGGGGUGCAAGCGUUGUUCGGAAUUACUGGGCGUAAAGGGCUCGUAGGCGGCCAACUAAGUCGGACGUGAAAUCCCUCAGCUUAACUGGGGAACUGCGUCCGAUACUGGAUGGCUUGGAUUUGGGAGAGGGAUGCGGAAUUCCAGGUGUAGCGGUGAAAUGCGUAGAUAUCUGGAGGAACACCGGUGGCGAAGGCGGCAUCCUGGACCAACAUUGAC